UACAGAGGUCCCAAGCGUUGUUCGGAUUCACUGGGCGUAAAGGGUGCGUAGGUGGCCGGGUAAGUCUGACGUGAAAUCUCCGAGCUCAACUCGGAAACUGCGUCGGAUACUAUCCGGCUCGAGGAUCGGAGGGGAGACUGGAAUUCUCGGUGUAGCAGUGAAAUGCGUAGAGAUCAUGAGGAAGACCAGUGGCGAAGGCGGGUCUCUGGACAGUUCCUGACACUGAGGCACGAAGGCCAGGGGAGCAAACGGG
rnacentral:rRNA from 1 species